rnacentral:rRNA from 1 species
GACGAACGCUGGCGGCGUGCUUAACACAUGCAAGUCGAACGGAGCACCCCUGAAGGAGUUUUCGGACAACGGAUGGGAAUGCUUAGUGGCGGACUGGUGAGUAACGCGUGAGGAACCUGCCUUCCAGAGGGGGACAACAGUUGGAAACGACUGCUAAUACCGCAUGAUGCGUUGGAGCCGCAUGACUCCGACGUCAAAGAUUUAUCGCUGGAAGAUGGCCUCGCGUCUGAUUAGCUAGUUGGUGAGGUAACGGCCCACCAAGGCGACGAUCAGUAGCCGGACUGAGAGGUUGGCCGGCCACAUUGGAACUGAGACACGGUCCAA